GUAAACUGUUAUUUUAAUUUGUAUAUCUUCAUUCUCAUACUUUCGUAAUUUAGAAAUAUUAUACAUUUGAUAUGAGCAAUGUUUUUUGUUUGGAUCGGUCGAAGAAUCAAUAUGAACUUUUGUUCACAAAUAUUCUUUUAUAUAACAAAAUCAAAUAUCAUAAUAUACAUGCCUAACCUUGCACGUUCGCACUCUUUUUUGUUGAAUGGAUCUAGUCACACCUACACUUCCCAACUCAAAGAGAGGUCAAAGCAUGACCAUAUUAGAAAGUGACCAUACUGAUGUCAGUGGGAAUCAAAAGCAGAGAAUUCGCACAUCAACUGUUGUGUUCCAUUUGUAUUUUUGAUUUGCAGCCAAUCAAAUUAACAUAUAUGGCGAUGAAGAAAACAAAAAAGCUGGUUUAUUUAUGACAUUUUGUUUGUAGGAACGAUAUUCGGCAGUUUUUUAGUUUAGGGAUACAUUAAUUGCAGCGAUAUUUUGUUUCUUUUUUGUAUGUUAUGACUCAGUUGGGAGUCUGGUCAUUUGUUAUCUGUGGUGCGAUUUUGAAUUAUUUAUUUUAUAAAAAAAAAUUUGGUUCAGUUAUUCCUCAGUGAAAUUGAAUGUAAAAAGAGUAUUUGCCUUCCACCGAUGAGUAUAUAUACUACAAACAAAAAUGUAAUGUUUUUUUAUUCAUUUUAACGUUGAAAAAUGUAAUGUUUUGGCCCAGUUUAGUGGUAAUUUUUGAAAGAAAAUUGUAUGCAAAAGAGUAAUAUAUUUCAAUAGAAUAUUUCCAUUUGUUUUAUUUACUGGUGUGAGACUUGAUGUCGGAGUUGAAGUUUAAAGCAUUUUUAUAAACAAUGAUCGCAUCGCAUACAUAAACAUUUCUCUUUUCGAUUGUGUUUACAUAAAACGUUUCGACCGACUUCGUGUGAUAGCUAUGUGUGUUUGUUGAUUAACAGUAUGUUUCGUAAGCAAUAACAGCAUUUGAUACAACGUAUUGAUUAUUCAUAUGCAUUUCUGUCUACAUAUACAUUAUGUAUCACUCUGUGUAUUCACUCAGAUUUUUCUUAAUUUGCUUGUGUCAGCAAAAUUCAAAUUUCAACAGAAAAUCACACAUCUCUCUUUGUUUAUAAUUUUAUAUUUCGAUUUUGAUCAUCGGCCAUUUUUAAUGAACGUUUACUUUUGUCGAUUCAACAAUAAUUCCCUAUAAAUUCGGGUGCAUUUUUGAGGUGAUUACACAGUUUAGCAAAGAAUUUCACAGCACCUUGUGUUCCAAUUGCCGACCAUUGCAUCGUGAACAUAACAUUUUCGAACGCGCUUUUUGUCAUUUUGCAGUGAAAGUGCUGUUGAUUAAAUUUUCAUUACAAUGAAGAGGAGACGUGCAAAAAUAAAUACAGCCUUUAAGAAAAAUACAACAAAAUUGAAGGACAAUGACGAGUUGCGAUCGAUAAAACUGUCAGCGCCUUCAGUGUUCAAGUCUGAAUAUUCAGAAACGCUUACAGAGCAUUUUUUCCAUAAAUGCUACGAUGGUACAGUGAUAUGCUACCUAGGUUAGACAUUGUUUUUAUAUUCUGUCAAUAUAAUAUAUUGGAGUACUUCUUGCAAAUGAUUCGCUAUCAGUUGAACGAAGACCCGAAUCGGCGCAUAAAAUUUGAUGGAACUGACAUGAGGAAUGCAAAGAACAAUCCUAUGAGCUGUAUGAACAAGUCGCCGUACGCUGUUUACCAUCAUUUCGCAACCAUUUGUCAAUGAUUGAAUACAUCGAGAAAAAGUGGUUUGAAUCGUUGUGGUUUUUCAUCUUCAUUCAACGUGAAAUAAGUAUAUUUUUGGAAGAGCAUCACGAUCUUGUGCAAUUAUGGCUACGACACCAACGCCAUCCGCUUUUUUAUUGCGAACCAUCCAAACCAUUGCUACCAAAAAUAAGAAAUUUCACCGUCAUACCGAUAUGUGACUCGCAGCUGAUGAGCCUGCUGGCCCAAUGGAAAGUUGUGUCGAAGAUAUUCAACAAUGAUGAUGGAGGGCAUAAUAUGUAUAGCCGUAACUAUUACGAGGAGAACGAAGAUGAAGCAUGGGCCAUUUUGUUCAACAUGGACAAAAUCAACGAGAUCAAGAAACCGAACCAAAACUUUCAUCACAUGAUAGUUUGUGAUAGUGUUUCCGCGUCGGUAUUGUACAGAGCACCAAAGCCUGAGAUCGAGAAUACGGAGCUGCAUCGACAAAGAAUCAAGCAAAAACUCGAGAACAAUGAGUAUAAAUACAUCGUCGCAAUUGAUCCCGGUAUGAAAACAUACUUAGCCGGAAUUCGUCGGAAUAUUGAAGAUCGUACUGAGGAAAAUUUCAAGAUAUCUCCGAAGUCAUAUCAUUGGGGUGCCGGACAAAAAGUCAGAGGCUGCAUAUGCUCGGCGACGAUAUGCACGGCUUUCGUUUGACAAAUUGUAGCGUAACGUUAAGUCGCAACGACCAAGCGUACGCAAUACGAAUUCAAUUGAAUAAAGUGUCUCUUACUAUCCACA